rnacentral:lncRNA from 1 species
CAUAAUUCCUCUACCAAGAAAUUCAGCUGGGCUCACAUGACUAUUUUUUGGGAUUGUAUUUCAAUGCAGUGGAAAAGACAGCUUCCAAAGGUGCAGGAAGGAGACAGAGGCAAGGACCUUGGAAAUGUCUCAAGACACUUGCAACCGAUUAAGCCAUCACCCCAGAAGAGUUCUGCAGGCUGUACAGAAGACCUGACUUGAGAGGCCUCAGGAAACUUACAAUUAUGGUGCAAACGUGAAGGGGAUGCAAGCACAUCUUCACAUGGCAGCAAGAGAGAGAAUAAAGGGGUAAGUGUUACACAUUUUUAAACAACUAGAUCUGUGACAACUCACUCAUUAUCAUGAGAACAGCAAGGGGGAAAUCUGCCCCUAUGAUUCAAUCACCUCCCACCAGGUCCCUCCUACAACACUGGGGAUUACAAGUCAACAUGAGAUUUGGGUAGGGACACAGACCCAAACCAUAUCAACCUGGAAGACUGAUUAAAACACACAUAGGCAGGACCCACCCCAGAGUUUCAUUUCUUUCCUUUCUUUCUCUCUCUUUCUUUCUUUCUUUCUUUCUUUCUUUCUUUCUUUCUUUCUUUCUUUCUUUCUUUCUCUUUCUUUCUUUUUUUUUUUUUUAAAGACAGAGUCUUGCUCAGUUGUCUAGGCUGGAGUGCAAUGGUGUGAACUUGGCUCACUGCAGCCUCUGCCUCCCAGGUUCAAGUGAUACUCCCACCUCAGUUUCCCAAGUAGCUGAGAUUACAGACACCUGCCAUCAUGUCUGGCUAAUUUUUGUAUUUUUUGUAGAGAUGGGGUUUCACCAUUUUGGCCAGGCUGGUCUUGAACUCCCAACCUCAGGUGAUCUGCCGGCCUUGGUCUCCCAAAGUGCUGGGAUUACCGGCAUGAGCCACCACACGCGGCCUCACCUCAGUUUCUGAUGCGGUAGAACAGGGUGGGUUCCAAGAAUGUGCAUUUCUGACAAGUUCCCAGGUGAUGCUGGUGGUCUGGGAUGACGCUUUGAGAGCCAGUGCUCUAAACCAGCUGUUCCCAAACUUUCAUAUGUAUAGGCCUUCAGAAUCAUCCAUUAUUUGAUUUGCCCUAUUGGCAUUAGCUCAC